ACAUGCAAGUCGUGCGAGAAAGUAUCUUCGGAUAUGAGUAGAGCGGCGGACGGGUGAGUAACGCGUAGGAAUCUACCUAGUAGAAGGGGAUAGCCCGGGGAAACUCGGAUUAAUACCGUAUACCUCCUUCGGGAGAAAGAAGGCCUCUCUUUGAAGCUUUCGCUACUAGAUGAGCCUGCGUAAGAUUAGCUUGUUGGUGAGGUAAAGGCUCACCAAGGCGACGAUCUUUAGCGGGUCUGAGAGGACGAUCCGCCACAUUGGGACUGAGACACGGCCCAGACUCCUACGGGAGGCAGCAGUGGGGAAUAUUGGACAAUGGGCGCAAGCCUGAUCCAGCCAUACCGCGUGUGUGAAGAAGGCCCUAGGGUUGUAAAGCACUUUAAGUUGGGAAGAAAAGUUAUUGGUUAAUACCCAAUAGCCGUGACAUUACCAUCAGAAUAAGGACCGGCUAAUUCCGUGCCAGCAGCCGCGGUAAUACGGAAGGUCCAAGCGUUAAUCGGAAUUACUGGGCGUAAAGCGCGCGUAGGUGGUUUAUUAAGUUGGAUGUGAAAUCCCCGGGCUCAACCUGGGAACUGCAUCCAAAACUGAUUCACUAGAGUACGAUAGAGGGAGGUAGAAUUCACAGUGUAGCGGUGGAAUGCGUAGAUAUUGUGAAGAAUACCAAUGGCGAAGGCAGCCUCCUGGAUCUGUACUGACACUGAGGUGCGAAAGCGUGGGUAGCGAACAGGAUUAGAUACCCUGGUAGUCCACGCCGUAAACGAUGUCAACUAGCUGUUGGGGAACUAUGUUCUUCAGUGGCGCAGCUAACGUAGUAAGUUGACCGCCUGGGGAGUACGGCCGCAAGGCUAAAACUCAAAUGAAUUGACGGGGACCCGCACAAGCGGUGGAGCAUGUGGUUUAAUUCGAUGCAACGCGAAAAACCUUACCUAUACUUGACAUACUUGGAAUGCUUUGUAAUGAAGCAGUGCCUUCGGGAGCCAAGAUACAGGUGCUGCAUGGCUGUCGUCAGCUCGUGUCGUGAGAUGUUCCGUUAAGUCGGAUAACGAGCGCAACC
rnacentral:rRNA from 1 species